rnacentral:rRNA from 1 species
AUGAACGCUAGCGACAGGCCUAACACAUGCAAGUCGAGGGGCGAGCACAAGGAGCAAUCUGAGGUGGCGACCGGCGCACGGGUGAGUAACACGUAUGCAACCUGCCUGUAAGCGGGGAAUAACCCGUUGAAAGACGGACUAAUACCGCAUAAUACUAAAUUACUGCAUGGUAAUUUAUUUAAACAUUUAUGGCUUACAGAUGGGCAUGCGCAUGAUUAGCUAGUUGGAGAGGUAACGGCUCCCCAAGGCAACGAUCAUUAGGGGUUCUGAGAGGAAGGUCCCCCACACUGGUACUGAGACACGGACCAGACUCCUACGGGAGGCAGCAGUGAGGAAUAUUGGUCAAUGGACGAGAGUCUGAACCAGCCAAGUCGCGUGCAGGAAGAAUGUCCUAUUGGAUUGUAAACUGCUUUUGCAGGGGAAUAAAGUGCAUCACGUGUGAUGUUUUGUAUGUACUCUGCGAAUAAGGAUCGGCUAACUCCGUGCCAGCAGCUGC